rnacentral:lncRNA from 1 species
AUGACAUGGAGCAUAACUCAGAAGUUUAGGCAACUUCCCUGCUGUUACUCAUCAGAAACGGAUGUUUCACCCAGCACAUGUGAAACAAGUAGCCUAAUGGAGAUGCGGGCAGUGAAUUCCUGCGUCUUGCACUUUCUAUCCUUCUGGCCAUCUCUGGGCAUCUGUCAUCAUCACCAUGUGCUGCUAGAGAUGAGCUUCUCCGCCAGGAGGAAGGGCCUGCUGGAGAAGACAGGAAGGGCCCUAUCUGAUCGUUAUCUGGAGCGGACAAAAGCCAUGCGUUGCUUUUUCCUUUUGACGUGUGCAAUUAGCUUGGCUCGUGUGGAAGAAACAUGUCAAGAGGUCUCGUGGGCACCAGGGUUUCCUUGCAUUCAGCCAUGGGCAGCGGUUGCAGGGAAUGGUUUUCUCUCCUUCUCUCCUGGGAUCCCUCAGCAGGGCAGAAGGUGUUUCCAUCCAUGGAUCUUCCUCGGGAAAGACUGCCGUUUCAUGGGGAGAGUAAGUC